rnacentral:rRNA from 1 species
CCUACGGGAGGCAGCAGUGGGGAAUAUUGGGCAAUGGAGGAAACUCUGACCCAGCAACGCCGCGUGAAUGAUGAAGGUCCUCGGAUUGUUAAGCUCUUUUUUAAGGGAAGAAGAAAGUGACGGUACCUUAGGAAUAAGCCUCGGCUAACGACGUGCCAGCAGCCGCGGUAAUACGUAGGAGGCGAGCGUGCUCCGGAUUGACUGGGCGUAAAGGGUGCGUAGGUGGUUUGGCAAGUUAGUAGCGAAACUCCAGGGCUCAACCUUGGAACUACUACUAAAACUGUUGGACUUGAGUGCAGGGGGGGCAAGCGGAAUUCGUAGUGUAGCGGUGGAAGGCGUAGAUAUUAGGAAGAACACCAGUGGCGAAGGCGGGUUGCUAGACUGUAACUGACACUGAGGCACGAAAGCGUGGGGAGCAAACAGGAUUAGAUACCCGUGUAGUC